rnacentral:rRNA from 1 species
GGUUAAGCGACUAAGCGUACACGGUGGAUGCCCUGGCAGUCAGAGGCGAUGAAGGACGUGCUAAUCUGCGAAAAGCGCCGGCGAGGUGAUAUGAACCUUUGACCCGGCGAUGUCCGAAUGGGGAAACCCAGUGCAAUCCGUUGCACUAUCGUUAACUGAAUACAUAGGUUAACGAGGCGAACCGGGGGAACUGAAACAUCUAAGUACCCCGAGGAAAAGAAAUCAACCGAGAUUCCCCCAGUAGCGGCGAGCGAACGGGGAGCAGCCCGGAGUCUGAAUCAGCUUGUGUGUUAGUGGAACGGUCUGGAAAGUCCGACGGUACAGGGUGAUAGUCCCGUACACGAAAGCACACAUGCUGUGAACUCGAAGAGUAGGGCGGGACACGUGGUAUCCUGUCUGAAUAUGGGGGGACCAUCCUCCAAGGCUAAAUACUCCUGACUGACCGAUAGUGAACCAGUACCGUGAGGGAAAGGCGAAAAGAACCCCGGCGAGGGGAGUGAAAAAGAACCUGAAACCGUGUACGUACAAGCAGUGGGAGCCUCUUUAUGGGGUGACUGCGUACCUUUUGUAUAAUGGGUCAGCGACUUAUAUUCUGUAGCAAGGUUAACCGUAUAGGGGAGCCGAAGGGAAACCGAGUCUUAACUGGGCGUUAAGUUGCAGGGUAUAGACCCGAAACCCGGUGAUCUAGCCAUGGGCAGGUUGAAGGUUGGGUAACACUAACUGGAGGACCGAACCGACUAAUGUUGAAAAAUUAGCGGAUGACCUGUGGCUGGGGGUGAAAGGCCAAUCAAACCGGGAGAUAGCUGGUUCUCCCCGAAAGCUAUUUAGGUAGCGCCUCGUGAACUCAUCUUCGGGGGUAGAGCACUGUUUCGGCUAGGGGGCCAUCCCGGCUUACCAACCCGAUGCAAACUACGAAUACCGAAGAAUGUUAUCACGGGAGACACACGGCGGGUGCUAACGUCCGUCGUGAAGAGGGAAACAACCCAGACCGCCAGCUAAGGUCCCAAAGUCAUGGUUAAGUGGGAAACGAUGUGGGAAGGCACAGACAGCCAGGAUGUUGGCUUAGAAGCAGCCAUCAUUUAAAGAAAGCGUAAUAGCUCACUGGUCGAGUCGGCCUGCGCGGAAGAUGUAACGGGGCUAAACCAUGCACCGAAGCUGCGGCAGCGACACUAUGUGUUGUUGGGUAGGGGAGCGUUCUGUAAGCCGUUGAAGGUGUGCUGUGAGGCAUGCUGGAGGUAUCAGAAGUGCGAAUGCUGACAUAAGUAACGAUAAAGCGGGUGAAAAGCCCGCUCGCCGGAAGACCAAGGGUUCCUGUCCAACGUUAAUCGGGGCAGGGUGAGUCGACCCCUAAGGCGAGGCCGAAAGGCGUAGUCGAUGGGAAACAGGUUAAUAUUCCUGUACUUGGUGUUACUGCGAAGGGGGGACGGAGAAGGCUAUGUCAGCCGGGCGACGGUUGUCCCGGUUUAAGCAUGUAGGCGGAGGUUCCAGGUAAAUCCGGUACCUUAUUAACGCUGAGGUGUGAUGACGAGGCACUACGGUGCUGAAGUGAUAAAUGCCCUGCUUCCAGGAAAAGCCUCUAAGCAUCAGGUAACACGAAAUCGUACCCCAAACCGACACAGGUGGUCAGGUAGAGAAUACCAAGGCGCUUGAGAGAACUCGGGUGAAGGAACUAGGCAAAAUGGUGCCGUAACUUCGGGAGAAGGCACGCUGAUAUGUAGGUGAAGCCCCUGCGGGCGGAGCUGAAAUCAGUCGAAGAUACCAGCUGGCUGCAACUGUUUAUUAAAAACACAGCACUGUGCAAACACGAAAGUGGACGUAUACGGUGUGACGCCUGCCCGGUGCCGGAAGGUUAAUUGAUGGGGUUAGCGGCAACGCGAAGCUCUUGAUCGAAGCCCCGGUAAACGGCGGCCGUAACUAUAACGGUCCUAAGGUAGCGAAAUUCCUUGUCGGGUAAGUUCCGACCUGCACGAAUGGCGUAAUGAUGGCCAGGCUGUCUCCACCCGAGACUCAGUGAAAUUGAACUCGCUGUGAAGAUGCAGUGUACCCGCGGCAAGACGGAAAGACCCCGUGAACCUUUACUAUAGCUUGACACUGAACACUGGUCCUUGAUGUGUAGGAUAGGUGGGAGGCUUUGAAGCGUGGACGCCAGUCUGCGUGGAGCCAACCUUGAAAUACCACCCUUUAAUGGCUGGUGUUCUAACGUGGACCCGUUACCCGGGUUGCGGACAGUGUCUGGUGGGUAGUUUGACUGGGGCGGUCUCCUCCCAAAGAGUAACGGAGGAGCACGAAGGUUGGCUAAUCCUGGUCGGACAUCAGGAGGUUAGUGCAAUGGCAUAAGCCAGCUUGACUGCGAGCGUGACGGCGCGAGCAGGUGCGAAAGCAGGUCAUAGUGAUCCGGUGGUUCUGAAUGGAAGGGCCAUCGCUCAACGGAUAAAAGGUACUCCGGGGAUAACAGGCUGAUACCGCCCAAGAGUUCAUAUCGACGGCGGUGUUUGGCACCUCGAUGUCGGCUCAUCACAUCCUGGGGCUGAAGUAGGUCCCAAGGGUAUGGCUGUUCGCCAUUUAAAGUGGUACGCGAGCUGGGUUUAGAACGUCGUGAGACAGUUCGGUCCCUAUCUGCCGUGGGCGCUGGAGAAUUGAGGGGGGCUGCUCCUAGUACGAGAGGACCGGAGUGGACGCAUCACUGGUGUUCGGGUUGUCAUGCCAAUGGCACUGCCCGGUAGCUAAAUGCGGAAGAGAUAAGUGCUGAAAGCAUCUAAGCACGAAACUUGCCCCGAGAUGAGUUCUCCCUGAGACUUUAAGUCUCCUGAAGGAACGUUGAAGACGACGACGUUGAUAGGUCGGGUGUGUAAGCGCAGCGAUGCGUUGAGCUAACCGAUACUAAUGAACCGUGAGGCUUAACCUU